rnacentral:rRNA from 1 species
CAGCAGCCGCGGUAAUACGAAGGGUGCAAGCGUUACUCGGAAUUACUGGGCGUAAAGCGUGCGCAGGCGGUUGUGUAAGACAGGUGUGAAAUCCCCGGGCUUAACCUGGGAACUGCGCUCGUGACUGCACAGCUAGAGUAUGGCAGAGGGGGGUGGAAUUCCACGUGUAGCAGUGAAAUGCGUAGAGAUGUGGAGGAACACCGAUGGCGAAGGCAGCCCCCUGGGCCAAUACUGACGCUCAUGCACGAAAGCGUGGGGAGCAAACAGGAUUAGAUACCCGCGUAGUCCCUGUCUCUUAUAC